rnacentral:rRNA from 1 species
CCUACGGGAGGCAGCAGUAGGGAAUCUUCCGCAAUGGACGAAAGUCUGACGGAGCAACGCCGCGUGAACGAUGAAGGCCUUCGGGUCGUAAAGUUCUGUUGUUAGGGAAGAACAAGUGCUAGUUGAAUAAGCUGGCACCUUGACGGUACCUAACCAGAAAGCCACGGCUAACUACGUGCCAGCAGCCGCGGUAAUACGUAGGUGGCAAGCGUUGUCCGGAAUUAUUGGGCGUAAAGCGCGCGCAGGCGGUUUCUUAAGUCUGAUGUGAAAGCCCCCGGCUCAACCGGGGAGGGUCAUUGGAAACUGGGAAACUUGAGUGCAGAAGAGGAAAGUGGAAUUCCAAGUGUAGCGGUGAAAUGCGUAGAGAUUUGGAGGAACACCAGUGGCGAAGGCGACUUUCUGGUCUGUAACUGACGCUGAGGCGCGAAAGCGUGGGGAGCAAACAGGAUUAGAUACCCUGGUAGUCCACGCUGUAAACCGAUGAGUGCUAGUAGUUAGUAGGGUUACCGGUCCCGUUUACGUUGUCUGUAGUUAACGUACUAUUAAGUACACUCCGCCGUCGGGAGGUACGGUCGUCGACGACGUAGAACGUACGAACGGAAGUUAGUACGGCGUGAGACGUGCCGACGGACGACGACGAGGGAGGUUAGG